GAGCGAGUGUGCAUUGAGUGAGCAGGAGGCAUAGAAGUAGUAGGAGAAGCAGUGCUAGCUGGCAGUGAGGUAGGUGCAGAAGAAGAGAGAACAUUAGAGCAACAUUCGGUAGGAGAAGCGGUGAUGAAACGUGAUCCAUAGAGCUGGAUGUAGGGCACGGAGAAUAAAUACUAGAGGGAGGUGGAGAAGACAACGUAGUAGGAGACAUACUUGACUUAGAUUGGGUACCGGCUACAAAGGGGAUAAAGGAGCAGUAAAUACAAUCUCAAAAGAGCCAUUGGAUGAAGAGACAGUAGAACGGCAAGAUAGUUUAGGAAAUGGAAAAACUAAUUCAUAAAAGACAACAUGGAGACUGACACAAACACGACCAGAUGUAGGAUCUAGGCAACGAUAUUCUUUAUAAUUAGAAGCAUAACCUAGGAAAAUACAUUAGAUAGAACGUGAUUGAAGCUUAUGAGAAACUU
rnacentral:lncRNA from 1 species